CCUACGGGAGGCUGCAGUGGGGAAUAUUGCACAAUGGGGGAAACACUGAUGCAGCAACGCCGCGUGAAGGAAGAAGGUAUACGGAUUGUAAACCUCUGUUCUUCGUGAAGAAUAAUGACGGUAGCUAAGGCGCAAGACACGGCUAACUACGUGCCCGCAGCCGAGGUAAUACGGAGGUGGCGAGCGUUGUCCGGAAUUACUGGGUGUAAAGGGAGCGCAGGCGGGAAGACAAGUCAGCUGUGAAAGCUACGGGCUUAACUUGUAGACUGCAGUUGAAACUGGUGUUCUUGAGUGAAGUAGAGGAUGGCGGAAGUCCGGUGGUAGCGGUGAAAGGCGUAGAUACUCGGAGGAACACCGGUGGCGAAGGCGGCCAACGGGGCUUUA
rnacentral:rRNA from 1 species